GAUGAACGCUGGCGGCGUGCCUAAUACAUGCAAGUCGAGCGAACGGACGAGGAGCUUGUUCCUUUGACGUUAGCGGCGGACGGGAGAGUAACCCGUGGAUAACAUCCAUAUCAGACUGGGAUUACUACGGGAAACCGGAGCUAAUACCGGAUAAUAUAAUGAACCGCAUGGUUCAAUAGUGAAAGACGGUUUUGCUGUCAAUUAAAGAUGGAUCCGCGCCGCAUUAGCUAGUUGGUAAGGUAACGGCUUACCAAGGCAACGAUGCGUAGCCGACCUGAGAGAGUGAUCGGCCACACUGGAACUGAGACACGGUCCAGACUCCUACGGGAGGCAGCAGUAGGGAAUCUUCCGCAAUGGGCGAAAGCCUGACGGAGCAACGCCGCAAGGGUGAUGAAGGUCUUCGGAUCGUAAAGCUCUGUUAUUAGGGAAGAACAAAUGUGUAAGUAGCUAUGCACGUCUUGACGGUACCUAAUCAGAAAGCCACGGCUAACUACGUG
rnacentral:rRNA from 1 species